AGAAGAGCUGUCCGCGCACGAUUUCCGCAAUCUGCUCUCUUUUCCCAAUCGUCCUUUUUCCCUCCUUUCCCGCUCCACGACGAUCCAUCCUUUCCCUCCUCCCUUCUUUCCUCCUCCCACAUUUCUUCUUCUGGCCUGUGUGCGUCCUCUCCAGCCUUUCCCGCGGCCGUUGUUGCCGCCAACGUCUUCUCGCCGCUGCCGUUGUUGCCGCCAACGUCUUCUCGCCGCUGCCGUUUCUUUCCGCCGCCGCUGUAGCUUCCUGCUCCCAAAUCAAGUGCCAAGUACCAACCCUCCCCGUCCCUGGGCUCUCUCUCUCUCUCUCUCUCUCUCUCUCUCUCUCUCUCUCGCUCUCCGUACUCUCCGUUUUUCUCUAAGGUCACGCUUUGUUUCUGUUGUUUCUCUUUCUCUACAAAAGUCUCGAGAUUAGCGACUUAACUAGAUAAAGACCCACAGGACCAAUUCAGGCACUUUCCUAACUGGGUUUCCAUCCGCGACACACACUAUCUGAUGCAGGAGAUAGGAUGCUCUCUUGGAGGAGAGAGCCUGCCUGCGACGUGUGAAGAAGAAGAAACAACCAUGAAUUAACUGCAAUCCUCUCUUCAGUUGGUCAGAUUAAACCAUUUGGCUUGCCCGUCCACUCUAUUAGAGGUGUGAAAUGCACAUUAAGAUUUCAAACAUGUCAGUGUUUAAGCAUGAAGUCGAAGAGGGUCUGGAGCAAGAAAACCCAAAACAGAAAGGAUUCCAAGGCAGUGAAGCAAAGCUCUGUUGACUUGUACAUUAAGAUAUUAAUUUUGGAAGAGUUUUUUUUUUAUUUUUUUUUAUUUUUUUUAUUUUUUUUUUUGUAGAAAAUACCAAUUGGUUCAAUCUGUAUUGAAUGAGCUCUGCCAUGCUCAUCAAAAACUUGUUUGUCCGGUAUCAUUCUCUCUCUCUCGCUUGUGAUUUCUCUCCUUGACUCUCUCGACUUGUGACUUCUCAAACCAAGAGGAAGGAACAAGGGGAACACCAAAUCAAGCUAGCCAUGAAUCGUAUCUAGUGGUUUUAUCCAAAAUCAAAUCUAGGACUGGAAAACUGCUUAAAGAGGCAGACAAAGAAACUGGCCAUAAGAAAACAAUUACAUCACUUUCAAAAUCUGCAGAUGGUUCACAUUUCCUCACCGGUUCCCUUGAUAAAUCUGCAAAGCUUUGGGACAUCAGAUCGUUGACAUUUAUCAAGACAUAUGUGACUGAACGCCUAGUGAAUGCUGUUGCUAUGUCUCCACUUGAUCAUGUAUGUGUUGGACAAUUUGUUUGCAUUUCAUUAUAAUAAUGUAUUUGUGUUGCAGUCUUUCUUGCUUCUCCCAUUGGUGCUGCAAGUGAUGAUGUUCAAGUGAGGAAUGCUGGUUAUGAAAUGAUUGAAUUUUGUAUGAAAUAUGAGUCUAUUUCAUGCAUUGAUUCCUCUGUGUUACUACCAUUCCAGGGGACAUAGGGGUCAUGUUACCACUGUAGAUUGUUGGGAAUUUUGGAUAAACUAAUUAAUCAAUGUUAGAUUGUACCAGAUUCUGAAUUUUAAGUUCAUUUUGAACAGUACUCAUUUUGGUUCAUAUA